UCCCGGAGGAGAUCACCCAGCUCCUCAUGCUAGAGCACUUUUUCAAUUUGCUCCCAAACGAGAAGGCGACGACUCAUUCGUAUGUCAAUCCAUAUAAACUAUCAAUGCCAUUGACUGCGCCUACUAUGGUGACCACGGGUAACGGGGAAUCAGGGUUCGAUUUUGUACAGGGACCCUGACAAACAGCUACCACAUGCAAGGAUGGCAGCAGGCACGCAAAUGACCUACUCCCGACGUGGGAAGGUAGUGACGACAAAUAACAAUACAGGACUCUUUAGAGGCCCUGUAAUUGUAAUGAGUCCACUUGAAAUCCUUUAACUCUGAUCAAUUGGAGGCAAAUCUGGUGCAGAGCCACUGACCUGUGCGUGCUGCAGCUGAGACUCCACUA